UACGUAGGGACCGAGCGUUGUCCGGAAUCAUUGGGCGUAAAGAGCGUGUAGGCGGCCACUUAAGUCCUGCGUGAAAUCUUGCGGCUCAACCGCAAGCGGUCGUGGGAAACUGGGUGGCUAGAGUGCGGGAGAGGAGAGUGGAAUUCCUGGUGUAGCGGUGGAAUGCGCAGAUAUCAGGAAGAACACCCGUGGCGAAGGCGACUUUCUGGUCUGUAACUGACGCUGAGGCGCGAAAGCGUGGGGAGCAAACAGG
rnacentral:rRNA from 1 species